UAUCUAUCUAUCUAUCUAUCUAUCUAUCUAUGUUUUCCUUCCUCUCAUAGGUGAAGGACUUUGGGUUCCAUUGCUUUAACUGUAUCAAUGUUUAAUUGGGCUUUUUUUUAGUGAUUGUUCCCUUCCCCUCCUAUUUCCCCCCUUCCUAUUUUUUUGUUUGCCCCCUUGUUUUUCUCACAAAACCCUGCAAAGUAGGCUAAGCCAAGAGGCAGAAGGGCACUGCCCGCUAAUUCUCCUCACAACAAACCUAUCCGGUAGGCCAGGCUUUGUGUGAGGCUCCUUUUUAGUCCCGCGACCACCCAGGGAGGAAGCCAACAAGGUCCACCAGCGCAGCUUUGCAGCUGCAUGCCCCUUUGAACCCAGGUCUCCUUUCCCAUGCAGCCUUGUGUUAUUGUUAAGAUAGUUUUUAAAGCUCUUGAGAGAGAUAUUUUUGCAAGCUGCACGGGGUAGGAGUUGACCAGAGAAAGGUAGGUUCUAAAUACCAAAAUCAAUCAAUAAACAAACCAAUACCCUCAUGCCAGCACCCCCAUCUUUGGUAAAAACUUUCUUCAACCCUCAGCUCAGUGAUGCAAACACUUCUUUCCCCCUUCCGCUAACAAAAUUAUGUGUGUGUAAAUAUGCAUGUGCAAAUACGUGACCUCCUGCCCUCAACGCACAUGGCGUUUUCCAAAUUUCAAGGGAGGGUAAGGUCCCAGCCCACAGCAAGUUUACAAUCUAAAAUUUGGUAUGUGCCAAUUCAACCCCUUCUGACUCUUGAUGGGAGCCUGUUUACACAUUUUAUUGGCAAACACCCUUCCAAGAACUUCUACCUAUUCAUUUCCUCCUCCCUCCCAAUUCGUUUUCCUUUUGUGCUAUGUAUUUUGGGGUUGCAAGGCUGUCCUUUUUUUAAGCGAUGUCCUUAAUUUAAAAUCUGCAGGCACACAUCUUACCAGCCUUACAAGAAUUCCAGCGUUCACCCUGGGGGAAAAAUACUUGCAUUAGGCCAGCCAAAACGUUUUACAAAACAGUGUGUGCAACGUGGCAGUUGGCCUAAUGAAGGUAUUGCCCCGAUGUGGAUUUUCUUACGUGUUAAGGUAAGCUCUGUGUGUCCUUGCCAUAAUGCCAAUUUCUAUUCCAUUCCAGAGGCAAAAUGCAAGCUGGAGUUUGGCCCUUCUGUCAGCUUGUCAAGGCUUCACCGGUGAAAUCCGUGCCUAUUUAUUAAAGACAGAAAUGAGUCAUACCACAAGACGGCAACUAGAGUUGGCCAUCCUGCUUGGCAUGGAAGAGGAGAGCAAGCCCAAACAGGUAACUAUUUCUUAGGGUGAGCUUGCUAGCUUGGUGGAGUAAGCACCUUGGAGGUGUCACACACCCACAGAUGCUAAGCUGAACCUGUCUAACCACUUUAUAGGGUGCAGUGGGAAAGGUGUGCAGAAGUGCUUGAGGGGAUGCAAGCAAGAAUACAAAAGUGCUCCAGCAUCAGUGCGCUACUGGAUCAAAGGCCUGUGUGGACCAAUAUCCUAGACAUGGGUGCAGCAGCACUCGCCAAGGUGUGUCUAGGCUCCAUUGCGCCCUUGGCAAGGAGCUAUAUUGGUGCUCUCCUGCCAACCCCUAUCUGGCUUAUGCUCCGCCAACAACAGAUAUUCAUCCUGCCUCCGAUAGCGGAGGUAAGAGAUCCACAUCCUCCUCUAUGGUUUUGUCUAAGCCCCUUUCUCGCCCUGAUCUGGCCACAGUGAUCCAUUCAAUGGUCACGUCCAGGCUUGAUUAUUGUAACUCGCUCUACGCAGGGCUGCCCUUGAAGCUGACCCAGAAACUCCAGCGGGUGCAGAAUGCCGCAGCGAGGCUCCUUACGGGGUCCUUGCCGCGGGAUCACAUUCAUCCAGUGCUUUACCAACUGCGCUGGCUCCUGGUGGAGUACAGGGUCAGGUUUAAGGUGCUGGUUUUGACCUUUAAAGCCCUAUGCGGCCUAGGACCCACGUACCUACAGGACCGCCUCUCCUGGUAUGCCCCGCGGAGGAGCUUAAGGUCCACAAAUGACAUCAUUUUGGAGGUCCCAGGUUGCAAGGUGGUUAGAUUGGUCUCAACUAGGGCCAGGGCCUUUUCGGUACUGGCCCCGACUUGGUGGAAUGCUCUGUCACAAGAGACUAGGGCCCUCUGGGACUUGACAUCUUUCUGCAGGGCCUCCAAGACAGAGCUGUUCUGCCUGGCCUUUGGUUUGGACUCAGUCUGACCCUUAUGUUUCCCUCCCCUUUCGGUUUUGAUAUAUGGGCCACUUUUAAAAUGAGGCUGCAUUUUAAAUUGCAUUUUAACCUGUAUUUUAAAUUGGUUUUUUCCCCUAUUAUGUUUUUACUGCAAUUUUACUGGUGUUAGCCGCCCUGAGCCCGGCUCUGGCUGGGGUGUAAAUAAAAUUUAUUAUUAUUAAAGACAUCCAAUUCAGCACUCACUAAAUCCUGCAGCAGUGCGUUCCACAGCUUAAUUAUGCGCUUUGUGAAGAAGUCCUUCUUCUUGUUUGUCCCAAUUUUUCUCCAACAUUCAGCUUCGUUGGAUGAGGCCCC